GACGAACGCUGGCGGCGUGCUUAACACAUGCAAGUCGAACGGAAAGGCCCUGCUUUUGUGGGGUGCUCGAGUGGCGAACGGGUGAGUAACACAUGAGUAUCCUGCCCUUGACUUUGGGAUAUCUUCAGGAAACUGGGGCUAAUACCGGAUAGGAGCUCCUGCUGCAUGGUGGUGGUUGGAAAGUUUCGGCGGUGGGGGAUGUACUCGCGGGUUAUCAGCUUGUUGGUUGGGUAGUGGCUUACCAAGGCUUUGACGGGUAGCCCGCCUGAGAGGGUGAUCGGCGACAUGGGAACUGAGACGGCGACCAUAGUCCUGCGGUAGGCAGCAGUCGCGAACGGGAGGCAGCGGUGGAGAGUCUUGCACAACGGGGGGACGUGUGUUGCAACAAUCCUGGGAGCGGAAUGCCGGCUUACGGGGUAUGAACCGCUUUCGCCUGAGACGAAGCGUGAUUGACGGUAAUGGGUAAAGAAGCACCGGCUAACUACGUG
rnacentral:rRNA from 1 species